GAUGAACGCUGGCGGCGUGCCUAAUACAUGCAAGUCGAGCGAACAGACGAGGAGCUUGCUCCUCUGACGUUAGCGGCGGACGGGUGAGUAACACGUGGAUAACCUACCUAUAAGACUGGGAUAACUUCGGGAAACCGGAGCUAAUACCGGAUAACAUGUUGAACCGCAUGGUUCAACAGUGAAAGACGGUCUUGCUGUCACUUAUAGAUGGAUCCGCGCCGCAUUAGCUAGUUGGUAAGGUAACGGCUUACCAAGGCAACAAUGCGUAGCCGACCUGAGAGGGUGAUCGGCCACACUGGAACUGAGACACGGUCCAGACUCCUACGGGAGGCAGCAGUAGGGAAUCUUCCGCAAUGGGCGAAAUCCUGACGGAGCAACGCCGCGUGAGUGAAGAAGGUCUUCGGAUCGUAAAACUCUGUUAUUAGGGAAGAACAAAUGUGUAAGUAACUAUGCACGUCUUGACGGUACCUAAUCAGAAAGCCACGGCUAACUACGUG
rnacentral:rRNA from 1 species